UACGUAGGGGGCGAGCGUUGUCCGGAUUCAUUGGGCGUAAAGCGCGCGCAGGCGGCUGUGCGAGCCCGGCGUGAAAUCCCCCGGCUCAACCGGGGAAGUGCCGCGGGGACCGGCGGUCUGGAGUGAGAUAGGGGCGUGCGGAACUGUGGGUGGAGCGGUGAAAUGCGUUGAUAUCCACAGGAACUCCGGUGGCGAAGGCGGCACGCUGGAUCUCUACUGACGCUGAGGCGCGAAAGCCAGGGGAGCGAACGGG
rnacentral:rRNA from 1 species